rnacentral:sRNA from 1 species
AAAAACAUAGAGAGUGAGAAAGGAUACCUCGAUAUAUUGUUUUUGAAACAACCCAACCCAUUUUUUUUAUAAAUAUAAUUAAAUAUUCCUAUAAAUAUCUAAUUAAACCAACCAAUAAAAUAACAAUUAAACCACAAGUCAAAAAUACUAUUUUAUGAAUAAAUAAAUAAUUCGACCAACAAAACCAAGAAUAACUAAGAAUCCUAACCGGGUUCCAAUAACCAAAAAACACCAAAAAUAAAACAAACGAGUUCUUAGAUCAUCCUCUCUUCCUUGCCAUGAUUCCACGAUCACACUUUAUCUUUACCUGCAUCAACAACACCAUGAGAUGCGUAAGUAUUAUCAUAAAUACUUAGUGAGGCGAUCCUCCCAUCUACGAGUUAUACACACAAGCAAAUAAAAGGGUAUAAUCACAAAUACAAAACAAACAAACCAGUCAUUGAACAAUUCACCCAAAACACAUUCACCACACCUACGUAUCAUCACACAAAACAAAUCACACAACCCAAUCGCUCAGAUAAGCUAAUGGUCACGCACUCACCUUAACAAAUUGAUUUUAAUAAUAAUUAAACUCAGGAGAGACUCUCCUUGCGUCUGAAACAGUCCAGAAACUCCUACAACAAGUCACAACCAAAAGCAACCUUGAAGCAAACUGGACAUAAAAAACAGAAACAAACAACCUCAAAGACGAAACCCUAAAAUACAAACUAACCGUUAACUAUUAAAUCGCUCUGGUGAAACGUUAUCCCUAGACGUCACGAAGCUUCCCACAAAAUAUCGUCCCGAUCGAAAACAGACGAGACCACGAUCUCAAUUUCAAUCCCUGCUGGUCCCAAUUCGCGUCUGAGAAAACGUGUCUCACGAAACAAGUUCUGUAAACUGGAGCAUAACGAUAAACGACAUGGGAAUAACUCUACCAAAUUUCGUUACCUUUGACCACGAUUUGAUAUGACGAAGCCGAUCUCUCCCAAACCCUAACGAUUCUGCUCCUUCUCCUUCCCUCUCUUUUUCUCCUUUAUAAAACGAAAAGUGGCUAACUAAAGCCCUAAUUUCGAGUUUCCUUCUUUUAUAGUCACACUCUAGGGUUUCCAAUUAACCCAACCAAUUAAAUCGGAUGAUUUAAAAAUAAACCCUAACCGAUUUUCCGGUUCACGGGCGUUACAGUUUUCUCCAUGGUCUCGUCGAUCCAAAACCUCAGUUUUCUCCAUGGUCUUUUUCUCUUCUGCUAAAAUAAAAAAAAGAGGCGAGAGAGUAAAAGAAAAUAGAAAUUGCUGAGUUAGUUCUUGAAAUGGGACGUACAGUAUUUAUAAGAUAUAAAUUUUUAGGUAAAAGAUAUACAUAAAAUAUUAAAUCGUGGAAUUCAAGUUUACAAAUUAUGAUGAAUCCCAUAAUUAUAGGAAAAUGUCAAAGCCAAUUUCUCCCAAACCCUAACGAUUCUACUCCUUCUCCUUCUCUCUCUUUUUCUCCUUUAUAAAACGAAAAGUGGCUAACUAAAGCCCUAAUUUCGAGUUUCCUUCUUUUAUAGGCACACUCUAGGGUUUCCAAUUAACCCAACCAAUUAAAUCGGAUGAUUUAAAAAUAAACCCUAACCGAUUUUCCGGUUCACGGGCGUUACAGUUUUCUCCAUGGUCUCGUCGAUCCAAAACCUCAGUUUUCUCCAUGGUCUUUUUCGCUUCUGCUAAAAUAAAAAAAAGAGGCGAGAGAGUAAAAGAAAAUAGAAAUUGCUGAGUGAGUUCUUGAAAUGGGACGUACAGUAUUUAUAAGAUAUAAAUAUUUAGGUAAAAGAUAUACAUAAAAUAUUAAAUCGUGGAAUUCAAGUUUACAAAUUAUGAUGAAUCCCAUAAUUAUAGGAAAAUAUCGAAGCCGAUUUCUCCCAAACCCUAACGAUUCUUCUCCUUCUCCUUCUCUCUCUUUUUCUCCUUUAUAAAACGAAAAGUGGCUAACUAAAGCCCUAAUUUCGAGUUUCCUUCUUUUAUAGGCACACUCUAGGGUUUCCAAUUAACCCAACCAAUUAAAUCGGAUGAUUUAAAAAUAAACCCUAACCGAUUUUCCGGUUCACGGGCGUUACAGUUUUCUCCAUGGUCUCGUCGAUCCAAAACCUCAGUUUUCUCCAUGGUCUUUUUCGCUUCUGCUAAAAUAAAAAAAAGAGGCGAGAGAGUAAAAGAAAAUAGAAAUUGCUGAGUGAGUUCUUGAAAUGGGACGUACAGUAUUUAUAAGAUAUAAAUAUUUAGGUAAAAGAUAUACAUAAAAUAUUAAAUCGUGGAAUUCAAGUUUACAAAUUAUGAUGAAUCCCAUAAUUAUAGGAAAAUAUCGAAGCCGAUUUCUCCCAAACCCUAACGAUUCUGCUCCUUCUCCUUCUCUCUCUUUUUCUCCUUUAUAAAACGAAAGUUGGCUAACUAAAGCCCUAAUUUCGAGUUUCCUUCUUUUAUAGGCACACUCUAGGGUUUCCAAUUAACCCAACCAAUUAAAUCGGAUGAUUUAAAAAUAAACCUUAACCGAUUUUCCGGUUCACGGGCGUUACAGUUUUCUCCAUGGUCUCGUCGAUCCAAAACCUCAGUUUUCUCCAUGGUCUUUUUCUCUUCUGCUAAAAUAAAAAAAAGAGGCGAGAGAGUAAAAGAAAAUAGAAAUUGCUGAGUGAGUUCUUGAAAUGGGACGUACAGUAUUUAUAAGAUAUAAAUUUUUAGGUAAAAGAUAUACAUAAAAUAUUAAAUCGUGGAAUUCAAGUUUACAAAUUAUGAUGAAUCCCAUAAUUAUAGGAAAAUGUCGAAGCCGAUUUCUCCCAAACCCUAACGAUUCUACUCCUUCUCCUUCUCUCUCUUUUUCUCCUUUCUAAAACGAAAAGUGGCUAACUAAAGCCCUAAUUUCGAGUUUCCUUCUUUUAUAGGCACACUCUAGGGUUUCCAAUUAACCCAACCAAUUAAAUCGGAUGAUUUAAAAAUAAACCCUAACCGAUUUUCCGGUUCACGGGCGUUACAGUUUUCUCCAUGGUCUCGUCGAUCCAAAACCUCAGUUUUCUCCAUGGUCUUUUUCGCUUCUGCUAAAAUAAAAUAAAAAAGGCGAGAGAGUAAAAGAAAAUAGAAAUUGCUGAGUGAGUUCUUGAAAUGGGACGUACAGUAUUUAUAAGAUAUAAAUUUUUAGGUAAAAGAUAUACAUAAAAUAUUAAAUCGUGGAAUUCAAGUUUACAAAUUAUGAUAAAUCCCAUAAUUAUAGGAAAAUGUCGAAGCCGAUUUCUCACGAACCCUAACGAUUCUGCUCCUUCUCCUUCUCUCUCUUUUUCUCCUUUAUAAAACGAAAAGUGGCUAACUAAAGCCCUAAUUUCGAGUUUCCUUCUUUUAUAGGCACACUCUAGGGUUUCCAAUUAACCCAACCAAUUAAAUCGGAUGAUUUAAAAAUAAACCUUAACCGAUUUUCCGGUUCACGGGCGUUACAGUUUUCUCCAUGGUCUCGUCGAUCCAAAACCUCAGUUUUCUCCAUGGUCUUUUUCUCUUCUGCUAAAAUAAAAAAAGAGGCGAGAGAGUAAAAGAAAAUAGAAAUUGCUGAGUGAGUUCUUGAAAUGGGACGUACAGUAUUUAUAAGAUAUAAAUUUUUAGGUAAAAGAUAUACAUAAAAUAUUAAAUCGUGGAAUUCAAGUUUACAAAUUAUGAUGAAUCCCAUAAUUAUAGGAAACUAUUUAGCUAUUAUCUUAUAAGUAGUUAUUUAAUUAUGGAAAUUGUUCAGAAACUUUAUGCUAAUUCAAAAAUGAAUAUCCAACUAAAUAUUUGAUUACCUAUAAUUAUGGAGAAGUGAUAUAUUCGAAUU